AUUGAACGCUGGCGGCAGGCCUAACACAUGCAAGUCGAACGAGUCGCGGACGGGUGAGUAAGGUCUGGGAAACUGCCUGAUGGAGGGGGAUAACUACUGGAAACGGUAGCUACUACCGCCUACCAUCAGCUGUGCCCAGAUGGGAUUAUCUUGUUGGUGGGGUAACGGCUCACCAAGGCGACGAUCCCUAGCUGGUCGUAGAGGAUGACCAGACACACUGGAACUGAGACACGGUCCAGACUCCUACGGGAGGCAGCAGUGGGGAAUAGUGCACAAUGGGCGAAAGCCGGAUGCAGCCAUGCCGCGGGUAUGAAGAAGGCCUUCGGGUUGUAAAGUACUUUCAGCGGGGAGGCGUUACCCGCAGAAGAAGCACCGGCUAACUCCGUGCCAGCAGCCGCGGUAAUUC
rnacentral:rRNA from 1 species